GACGAACGCUGGCGGCGCGCUUAACACAUGCAAGUCGAACGGACAGGCCUGCUUUUCCUUGUGGAUUGCGGGUACUCGAGUGGCGAACGGGCGAGUAACAAGUGUGUGUUCUGCCCCCAAAUUGGGUCUAAGCCCGGGAGACUGGGUCUAAUUAUCGAUAGGACUGCAGGGUGGUGUCUGUGGUGGCAAACGUUCUUUUAGUGGUUGGGGGUGAGCUCGCGGACUAUCAGCUUGUUGAUGGGGUAGUGGCCUACCAAGACGGGGACGAGUAGCCGGCCGGGGAUGGGGGACGGCCACAUUGGGACUCGGACACGACCCAGACGCCUACGAGCAGCAGCAGUGGGGAAUAUAGCACAAAGAGCGGAAGCCUGAUGCAGCGACGCCGCGAGGAAGAUGACGGCCUUCGGGUUGUAAGCUCCUAUCGACCACGAGGAAGCCACCUAGUUAGAAGGGUGGUGACGGUAGUGGAAGAAAAAGCACCGGCUAACUACGUG
rnacentral:rRNA from 1 species